AGAUAUCUGCGGUGUACGCGUUAGUUCCAGUUAAUUCAACCGACAAAUCAGACACGGGAAACUGUGUUUAAGGUCCUAUGGCAAGCCUCCAUAGAGAGGAAGUCAGAAUACCUUAAUAAGUUACCCACCUUAUUUUUAGGGCGGGUCUGAAUUAAUGGGCAAGCGGCAUUGCGGAUUUUUU
rfam:Peptoniphilus lacrimalis 315-B contig00051, whole genome shotgun sequence.